rnacentral:rRNA from 1 species
UACGAACGCUGGCGGCGUGCCUAAUACAUGCAAGUCGAACGCAUUUUCUUUCACCUUAGCUUGCUACACCGAAAGAAAAUGAGUGGCGAACGGGUGAGUAACACGUGGGUAACCUGCCCAUCAGCGGGGGAUAACACUUGGAAACAGGUGCUAAUACCGCAUAAUUCCAUUUACCGCAUGGUAGAUGGGUGAAAGGCGCUUUUGCGUCACUGAUGGAUGGACCCGCGGUGCAUUAGCUAGUUGGUGGGGUAACGGCCUACCAAGGCUGCGAUGCAUAGCCGACCUGAGAGGGUGAUCGGCCACACUGGGACUGAGACACGGCCCAGACUCCUACGGGAGGCAGCAGUAGGGAAUCUUCGGCAAUGGACGCAAGUCUGACCGAGCAACGCCGCGUGAGUGAAGAAGGUUUUCGGAUCGUAAAACUCUAUUGUUAGAAAAGAACAAGGAUGAGGGUGGAAAGGUUCAUCCCUUGACGGUAUCUAACCAGAAAGCCACGGCUAACU